GGGUCGGGUCAGGGUUGAUAAAUGCACAGGCCGCAAGUCUGAGCAGCUUUUGAAAACAUUGACCAAAGAGAGAUAUAAACUAGCAUGUCUGCAUUUAAUAAAAGUAAUACUUGAAUUUCAUUAAUCUCACAUUGGAAAAAUUCACCUCUGCAUUUGAUCUGUCCCCUUGGGGAGAAGUGGGCAAGGGCAAUGCCUAAACACUAGGCUAUAACUUUGAAAACAUCUGGGGGCCUAGUGCAAUGUCUAAACACUAGGCUGCCACUGUCCCUUAUACGCCCUACUCAUUCCCCCAUUUAUAUAUGAAAUCACUUUUAAUUUCUUAUUCAAUACUUGGAUUAAUUUCAGGAUCUUGUUUUUUUUCUAAACAUACAUUUAACUUAACAUUGAUAUAAACUAGAUAUUUUUGAUUUCUUAUUUUUUGGAUUUAAUAUUUUUAUGGAUUAAACUUUGACUAGUACAACUUUUAUCAGAUAAUUUGAUUUCAUACACAUAAAGGCACAUCAAGAAAACUAGAAAGGUGUAUUUCUGUUCUAUAUAGUAGAACAGAAAUACACCUUUCUAAACAAGUUGUGGCCUGUGCAUUUAUCGGGGUGGGUCGGGUCAGGGUUGAUAAAUGCACAGGCCACAAGUCUAUCAGAUUAACUCUGAGCAGCUUUUGGAGAGCUGCUCAGAGUUAAUUAUGAAAACAUUAGGAAGCCUGUACACUAUGUAAAACAAAGGCUUCCUGAUGUACCAAUAAGAAAUACCAGCUGAUACCCCACUGGGGUGGAGGGCAUAGUGGGUUGGGGGUGGGAUGGUUAAUGAAAGAACUAUAAUUCUGUUUUAUCUAGAAUUGUUCAGGUGUGUUUUCUUCAGACAAGAGACCUGUGCUCCUGUGUACUCCAUCACAACAUUCUCUACCAACUUCAGCAAACCCUACUUCAACAUCGUCCCAACUACAACAAGUUUCAAAUCAAAACAGAACAGAAAAAUAGAACUUCCAGCAUCCUCAUGUCUCAGUCUUUCCUCCCAGCAAAAGAUUAAAAGCGUCCAGUCAGCGCCCAGCUCACCACCUGCUGGACUUAAGAAAGAAAAAAACACAUCCUUGCACGGUUCCUUCUGCUGGAUCAGAUGGAGAUAUGUCUUCUUGCUCCAAGUGACAAAAGGUAGAGGUGAUCUUAAAUCCAUGUUCACUUCUUUACUCUGACUGUGCUGUGAUAUUCAUGACUAAUCUCUUUUUACAGAUAACAGUUUCUAAGCCACAGCUUGGCCUUCCUCUGCCCUCCUCUAUGCAUCCUUCAAGCUUAGGUGUCCACAGCUUGUAGACUUAUCAACAUCUACAAGUUAAACCUGCCUCAGUGCUGUUGAAGGAUCAAUUUCCCCUUCAUGUCUGCAUGCAACCACCUUCCCUCUCCAGCAGUGAUGGACUGCUGCUGACACAGGUUUUCCAACUGAGGUCCAGAAGUAAACAAAAAAAUACAACUUUGAUUUA